GGAGCUAACGCACCGCGGGGUUUCGGGGAACUAUUUUUCAUAACAGAGAAGAACACCGGGCGAAAAUCCCCGGGCAAUGGGGCAGAGAGUGCCAGCCUUCGCGGGCAGGACCUUCGGCCAGGCGCGCGUAGCACGUAAAACACGUUGCGCGCUGCCGCGGAGCAGCUAGCCAUAGCACAGUCAUGUGACCAGUGGGGAAACAACCCACCAACUCAACGGGGUUUACUCUCA
rnacentral:RNase_MRP_RNA from 11 species